UGCCUUUUCUACAAUCUCAUAUAAAUGGAAGCAUACGAAUGAUAGGGGAAAAUGGAAGGAGGAAAAAAAAAACAAUGCGAAAACCCUGGAGUUGAUCACCUGCGAGAACCGUGGUACAAAGGACUUAAGAAAAAGGAAUCAGGGGAAAACCUGGACCCAGAGAGAUGAGAGAACUUUUCCCGUGAAUGAAAUACAGCAGAGGAAACUGAGCCGUAAGCCACAAUGUGCAGGUGGACAUCAAAGAGCCAGUCAGCCCAGGUCACGUGUCCUUCAGCCUGCCUGACUCCAGCGUGGGACCAUCCCAAUAAAUCCACAUUGCUGACUGAGAUGAUCGCCAAAGAGCACCCUCCUCUGCCUUUCUCCCUCCUCCUCUGGAAGCCAAUCCUCCUCACGGAGCCAGUCCUUCAUGACUCAGCUUCCAAGAGAACAUCCCCUCUCCAGGAAGCCUGCUUGCACCCCACAGUCUUCUAUGAUCUUGGAAACCUCAGCAGUCUCCUGGAACUGUCUGUAAAAUUAGUUGGUGAGCUGGAAGGGAUCCUGCGAAGGUUCUCCCAUGUGCGAGGGGCCUGAAGAGCAUGUGUGCCAGAAUUUUUCACAUAUUCAGGAUGCAAAGCAAAAGAAUGGAAAGAAGAUAUAUCAUGCAAAUAGCAACCAUAAGAAAACUGGAGUGGCUAUAAUAUUGUGAUACCAGACAAAAUAGACUUUAAGACAAAAAUUGUUACUAGAGACAAAGAAGAACAUUUUAUAAUAUAAAAGGGUCAAUUCAUCAGGAAGCUAUAACAAUUAUAAGCAUAUAUCCACCUAACAACAGAGUCCCACAA